CUCUCUCCAACGAAGUCGAAUAGCUUUUCAAAGUUUAGGGGAGGAAGUAGAGCUUGGAGAGAGAGAAAUAUGUAGAGGCGAGGGCGAGAGAGAGAAUGCUUCGACGAAGCAGCAUUAAGGUGACGAAACCCACCAUGAGCCAUCCCCUUUCUCUCCGGUGACAAAAAUAGGCUUUCUUUUUCUCCGAUUUCAUUCUUUCUUACUUUUUUGUCUUUAAAUUUGAACUGAGGGAGAAGUAGAGAGCAGGGGGAGAGUGUUGAGGAGAGAAUGGUGAGAGGGGAGAAAUAGAGAGAAAAGGCUUCGAUGAAAGCCGCAGGUGAUAAGACCCAUCGCCUUUCUCUAUGGGUUGUAAACUGAUCUUCUUGCCUUCCUAAGCUAUUGCCCUGGCAUUUAUCACUGCUUGCAAAUCAUAGGCCAGUGCCUCUGCUCUUCACUGCAGCUAUAACUACUUUCUAUAGGGGUUAUUAUGCCAAGAAAGGUGUCAAAACUAUUAAGGGAGUAGUUGCAGUUGAGUUCUAUAAAAAUGCAAAUGGGGAGGUGAAGGCUGUGAAAUUGAAGGAUGGGAGGGUACUGGAUGCUGAAAUUUUUAUUGUUGUUGUUGGUGUUGGGAAAGACCCCUUACCACAUUGCUCCCAGGAUAGAUUGAGGAAGAGAAAGGUGGAAUUAUGAUUUGUGUGGUCCCCAUUCUAAUUAUGUUGUAGGGAAUUUCUUCAGUGCCAUCCACAUCCACUGCCCUAUCUCAACCACCAUAAACAUAAUUAACAUGUUUAACCACCCAAUUUACAAGGAUUGCAGCUGGUGAUUGACGUGAUGGAAUUAUUUUCUAUUCCUAUCAAGAGAAUCUGAUAAUUCCAAGAGAAAUGAGGGACAAUUUGAAUCCUCCACUAUAUGAUCUCGAGCAUUUGAAACUGAAAAAGAGCAAACCAGCAGCGGGGAUAUAUGAAAAAUUUCUUAAUAGCUUGUUGCUGAGAUCUCACCUAAAGGCUUUAUUUCUGUCAAUGGAGUGAAUGACUUUACCAUGGGGGUUGUGCAGGGAAAUGUCUGCUACAAGUCAUAGCAUCACUUGGCGUAAUAUUCUGCUAACAGCUCACAGAGUUGAAAUCGAAGGGGCAACCGCUUAUGCAGCUUCUGGUAUGUUAUGAUGUGCUAAUACUUCAACUCAACAAUUUCUGUAGGUUUUGGUUUGAAAGGUUGUUCUUUACCGUAUGACCGGUAUGACGGAAUUGUCUUAUUGUUUGGAUUUGGGAAAUUCU